GCAAUUGCAGCUACUGUGAGAGUUAGUUGGUAAUGUUCCAAGGAUACCAUUCUGUAUUUCUGUUUCUUACAGUCUAAAAUUUCUGUCAUCCAUAUUCCUUAUUCCCUGAGCCUUAGAGCCUUAGAGGGGCAUCAAAGAUGUUCUGUUCAGGUGUGAGCAUUCAACCACGUCUUUCUUAUUCUAAGCAUCUUGAGGAGCCGGUCUCUGCAAUCACGGAUGUUCACUGCAGAUAGAAGCUUCUCUGGUUGAAUAUGAGUCCUAUUUGUGUACGUAUAAAUAUAAACUUAAAAUGCAGUCUAGUCCUAUGUCAUCAGUUCCUCCACUGGCCUUUGGUUAUGGCUUUUGACUAGGUUUAUAGUAGCAGGCAUUUAUUUUCUCCUGUCGAAUGGGCUACAAACCUCACCUUUCCUCCUAAUCCACCACUAACCUGAACAAAAGAUGCGAUGCCAGACAGAUGAGGCCUUUUUCUCCCUGGACUUGCUGCUUACUUCCUGUCUGAAAUCUCUUACUCGAGCCUUCCCAGGUGUGUGCUUUGGUCAUGUUGCUUAUGAUGGGAUAUCUCUUCUGUAUGUGGCAAAUAAUAUUGUGCCACGUGUGUGCGUGUGUAUGUGUGUGUGUGUGUGUGUGUGUGUGUGUGUGUGUGUGUGUGUGUGAGAGAGAGAGAGAGAGAGAGAGAGAGAGAGAGAAAGAAAGAGAGAGUGUGAGUAUUGCUCUACAGCAGUAGCUACCCUGGAAUUGACUUUAAAAUCAUGGCAACCCAGUGCUUCUGUUUAUCUAUUUUCUUUACAGGAAUCGUCCAUGUAGGGGUUUCUGUGUUGACUACUAUAAACAAGCACACUAAGACAGGUAUCUCUCCAGACCCUCA
rnacentral:lncRNA from 1 species